UGCCUGGGCAUAUCUCACCACUGUCCAAGACAUCAUGUGUUCAGAAAGUGGGCACAUCAGUGCAGAACUUUCUGUUUCAAGACUUAAGACUAUUUUGUUCUCCUUUCACUGAAUAAGAGGUUUGCCUACAUCAAGGCAUAAGACCAAUGUUAUAGGCAAGAUGAGAUAAAUGAGAAGAGGUGGAAGCAGAGCCUCUAUCCAGCCCACCAGGAAAGGCCUCACAUCCCAACCUCUUCAAUUGUUGUAAUCACUGAGACCAAACUUCCAUUAGAUAGCCUAGCCAAGUGAAUCUGGAGGUUCUAUGAAACAAUGACCAGCAUAAGAAUGAAUACAA
rnacentral:lncRNA from 1 species